AUGGAACCUGAACACGAACGGAAACCACCGCGGUCGAAGAGGACGACCGGAAACCGCGGUCGAAGAGGAAGACCGGAAACGGCCGCGGUCGAAGAGGACGACCGAAAACGGAGGUCAAAGAGGAAGACCGGAAACGGCGGUCGAAACGGCGGAAAAAACCUUCGGAAACGGCGGAAAAACGAACAGAAACGGUGGUCGAAAACCUUCGAAAACGGCGGUCGAUGA